rnacentral:tRNA from 1 species
AGCGGCCCCGGCACGGUCCUGUGCCGCCGCCUCCGUCGCGGCCAGGGUCGCCGCGGGCAUGGUGAGGGCGGUACCGAAUCCGACCGCUGCCA